AUUGAACGCUGGCGGCAUGCCUUACACAUGCAAGUCGAACGGCAGCACGGGAGCAAUCCUGGUGGCGAGUGGCGAACGGGUGAGUAAUAUAUCGGAACGUGCCCAGUCGUGGGGGAUAACGUAGAGAAAUUUACGCUAAUACCGCAUACGAUCUAAGGAUGAAAGCGGGGGACUCAGCAAUGAGCCUCGCGCGAUUGGAGCGGCUGAUAUCAGAUUAGGUUGUUGGUGAGGUAAAAGCUCACCAAGCCGACGAUCUGUAGCUGGUUUGAGAGAACGACCAGCCACACUGGGACUGAGACACGGCCCAGACUCCUACGGGAGGCAGCAGUGGGGAAUUUUGGACAAUGGGCGAAAGCCUGAUCCAGCAAUGCCGCGUGUGGGAAGAAGGCCUUCGGGUUGUAAACCACUUUUGUACGGAACGAAAAGGUCUGCCCUAAUACGGUGGGCCCAUGACGGUACCGUAAGAAUAAGCACCGGCUAACUACGUGCCAGCAGCCGCGGUAAUACGUAGGGUGCGAGCGUUAAUCGGAAUUACUGGGCGUAAAGCGUGCGCAGGCGGUUAUAUAAGACAGUUGUGAAAUCCCCGGGCUCAACCUGGGAAUUGCAUCUGUGACUGUAUAGCUAGAGUACGGUAGAGGGGGAUGGAAUUCCGCGUGUAGCAGUGAAAUGCGUAGAUAUGCGGAGGAACACCGAUGGCGAAGGCAAUCCCCUGGACCUGUACUGACGCUCAUGCACGAAAGCGUGGGGAGCAAACAGGAUUAGAUACCCUGGUAGUCCACGCCCUAAACGAUGUCAACUGGUUGUUGGGUGCAUUAGUACUCAGUAACGAAGCUAACGCGUGAAGUUGACCGCCUGGGGAGUACGGCCGCAAGGUUGAAACUCAAGGAAUUGACGGGGAC
rnacentral:rRNA from 1 species